rnacentral:rRNA from 1 species
UACGGAGGGGGCUAGCGUUGUCCGAAGUUACUGGGCGUAAAGCGCGCGUAGGCGGGUUGGUAAGUCCGCUGUGAAAGCCCGGAGCUUAACUCCGGAGGGUCGGUGGAUACUGCCAGUCUUGAAGGUGCUAGGGGGAGAUGGAAUUAUCGGUGUAGCGGUGAAAUGCGUAGAUAUCGGUAGGAACACCAGUGGCGAAGGCGGUCUCCUGGGGCAUUCUUGACGCUGAGGCGCGAAAGCUGGGGGAGCAAACGGG